UACGAAGGGGGCUAGCGUUGCUCGGAAUUACUGGGCGUAAAGCGCACGUAGGCGGUCUUUUAAGUCGGUGGUGAAAUCCUGGAGCUCAACUCCAGAACUGCCUUCGAUACUGGAAGACUUGAGUCCGGGAGAGGUGAGUGGAACUGCGAGUGUAGAGGUGAAAUUCGUAGAUAUUCGGAAGAACACCAGUGGCGAAGGCGGCUCACUGGACUGGUAUUGACGCUGAGGUGCGAAAGCGUGGGGAGCAAACAGG
rnacentral:rRNA from 1 species